rnacentral:rRNA from 1 species
GACAGAGGGUGCAAACGUUGUUCGGAAUUACUGGGCGUAAAGCGCGUGUAGGCGGCAGGGUAUGUCGGAUGUGAAAUCCCGUGGCUCAACCACGGAAGUGCACCCGAAACUACCCAGCUGGAGUCUCGGAGAGGAAGGCGGAAUGCUUGGUGUAGAGGUGAAAUUCGUAGAUAUCAAGCGGAACACCGGUGGCGAAGGCGGCCUUCUGGACGAUGACUGACGCUGAGACGCGAAAGCGUGGGGAGCAAACAGG